CUACGGGACGCUCCAGUGAGGAAUUUUGCGCAAUGGGGGAAACCCUGACGCAGCAACGCCGCGUGAGUGAAGAAGGCUUUCGGGUCGUAAAGCUCUGUCAGAUAGGAAAAAAGUUCAUAUGUAAAUAGCUUAUGGAUCUGAUGGUACUAUCAGAGGAAGCACCGGCAACUCGGUGCCAGCAGCCGCGGUAAUACGGAGGGUGCAAGCGUUGUUCGGAAUUACUGGGCGUAAAGGGCGUGUAGGCGGGAUGGUAAGUCAGAUGUGAAAGCCCUGGGCUUAACUCAGGAAGUGCAUUUGAUACUGGCAUCCUUGAGUAUGGGAGAGGAGAGUAGAAUUCCCAGUGUAGAGGUGAAAUUCGUAGAUAUUUGGAGGAAUACCCGUGGCGAAGGCGACUCUCUGGACCAAUACUGACGCUGAGACGCGAAAGCGUGGGGAGCAAACAGGAUUAGAUACCCUGGUAGUC
rnacentral:rRNA from 1 species